rnacentral:tRNA from 1 species
GGUAAAAUGGCCGAAUGCUAGGCGGCGGGUUGUAGCCCCGAUGACGUAGGUUAGAUUCCUACUUUUACCA